UACGAAGGGGGCUAGCGUUGUUCGGAGUUACUGGGCGUAAAGGGCGCGUAGGCGGCGCACCAAGUCAGGCGUGAAAGCCCUGGGCUCAACCCGGGAAUUGCGCUUGAGACUGGUGUGCUUGAGUACGGGAGAGGAUAGUGGAAUUCCCAGUGUAGAGGUGAAAUUCGUAGAUAUUGGGAAGAACACCGGUGGCGAAGGCGGCUGCCAGACGCGCUCGACGGUGAGGGAUGAAAGCUGGGGGAGCAAACCGG
rnacentral:rRNA from 1 species